UUUAGAGGAAAUUACAACUUUUGGCCCAAAGGUUUGAAUAAUUAAAUUCAAACCUAUAGUUUUUUUUAAAUAUAAUUUUGGGACUACAAUCCCAUUUUUAUAUUAUUUUUCUCUCUUCCUCUCACGUUGCUCUGCGUUUUCUCGCAAGGGGGGAUUAUUUUCUUUGUCUUCAGAUUGUGUUGACAAAGAUAGUGGUGAAAGACGAGUUGUGAAGGGGAAUUUGUUAUUCAAGACACAAGGAGCAAGUCCGGCCGAGAAAGCACCAGAGGUGUAACUGUGAUGUAUGAGACACCAUCUUUUACGUUGCCUCUUAUUUUAGAUUAUACAAUGUAUCUUGUGCCAACUUAGGACAUAUCUUCUUUGUGAAGCAUGUAAACUCUAAUCCUUUUUAUUAAAAGUAUUUAUAUGACCAAGAGGAUUAUGUCUGUCCCUCUUGAUUUAUGAUCUGAUUUGAAUAACAUGCUAUGAGGAUCAUGUCUGUCCCUCAUGGUUCUAAUUGUUUUUUUUUAGAUAUUUUAAGACCUGUGGUAUA